rnacentral:ncRNA from 1 species
CGAUAUGGGUAAACCUGCCGAAAGGCCGGGGCACAAAACCACAGGGCCUGUUCUGAGAGGAUGGUAGCCAGUUGCAG